rnacentral:lncRNA from 1 species
GAGAAAGGGUAGGGGGUUGGGUUGAAUAGAGUUUGAAAACUUUUCGAAAAAAGUGUUGGACAUUUUUUACAGGGGUUAGACGGUCUAUAGACAAUGUUGAACAGUUGAGGAUUUUUACAAGCGUUUGGAAACAUAAUAAAAAGGGGACAGAGAUAAAAGUUGGUUUUAUAUUGGUUCAUUAAACCUCAACUAUGUAUAGUUCUCCUUUAAGAACUCCUAAAGGGUUCCACUAGCUUCAACAAGUUACAAAUGAGUUUCACCACUCUUGGUUUACCAUAGCCCAAUUGGUUAAUACCAUUUAACUCCACCUUAGCUAAACAAACCAAGUAUUUUGAAUCACUCUUGAUUAUCCAAAAAUAAAUGUAUGUUUAAAGCAAGUACAAAAGAAUAACUUUGUUAGAGAGGUUAUGAUCAAAAUAAUACAGAUUUGAGAAACCU